AACGCACAUUGCGCCUUCCAGUAUCCUGGGAGGCAUGCCUGUCCGAGCGUCGUUUCAACCCUCGAGCCCCCGUGGCCCGGUGUUGGGGACGCUGCCCAGCUACCUGGGCAGCCCCCCUAAAUGCAGUGGCGGUCCCGCAAGUCCCAGCCCUUUGCGUAGUAAUAUCAUUCUCGCUCUGGACGGCUCGCGGGCUUACCAGCCUCGAAACCCCCUACAAAGACCGCCCCGGCGGCAACGGUUGACCUCGGAUCAGGUAGGAAUACCCGCUGAACUUAA
rnacentral:misc_RNA from 2 species